CAGGGACAGGCCCAUACACACACACAGGCACACACGUGGUCACAGACACACACACUUGAUGAGGAACUUGGAGCUGUAUCUCAGCUUUUAUCAGAAGAUUUAUUUCCUUGAUUAAUUGCACUUUUACUUGAGCACAGAAUUUGGCUCCUUUCGACACCUCGGGAAUACGAUGUCCCGGAUAUGCAGAUCGCUUUUUUUUUGGUUAAAAUGUCAUAAAACGAGACGGGAUGUGACUCAGGAAGCUGAUUCAGCCCUCUCAGUUUUCUAGAUUUCGAAAGUGUGGGAAAAACAUUUGGAAAAAGUUUAUGUGGGGGUUUUAAUUGAUGAGAUGAAGAGACGCAAAUCGGAGAGCAUUCUUUAUCGGGGUGUGUGUGUGUGUGUGUGUGUAUGUGUGUGUGUGUUUAGUGGGCCUGGUUACUCCGGCGACGGUCCACUUUUCAUCAAUCCUGGAUGAAGUGAUUAAUAAUGGAUGUGUGCCUAUAUAUGGCAAUGGCAAUGCCUCUCUCUCUCUCUCUCUCUCUCUCUCUCUCUCCCUCUCCUCUCUCACACUCACACACACAGACCAAGCCGCCAUCCACCCUGCCCAGGCACUGUGUACACAGCCGAUCUAUUCAUCUCUCCCUCAGCCGGCAUUAAUAAAUGAUUCUAGCUACUCAGUACACGCGCACACACCCAGACGCACACACGUUAAAUAUUCAUCAGCUGGGCUGUGCUGUUAGUCUUGGGCUGCUCAUGGAGGCAGUAAACGCAGACUCAGACGCUUGCUGGCACAUUACUCACACACACACACAGCCCUAAAAGUCUGCACAGAUUUACCUACAGUGUAUUUUUAUAUGAUACACUAUAAGGAAAAGCAAGAAAAAAUCCGGAAAGAGAGAGGCAAAGGGUUAACACACUGAACAGUCUGCUGCACAAUAGACCACGUGUGUGUGUGUUCAUGUUCCAGGAAACAGGAUGUCCUUUUGUGCAGCAGCACCGUGAAACUCUACAGCAGGCUGAGCUGCGCUCUCGCGUCUACGUCAUCCAGAUGAUGAUGAUGAUGAUGAUGCUGAUGGAGUCUCUCCUAGGAAUCCCAGGUGUGAAGUCUGAACACAUCCUGAACAAAAAUCAGUACACACACACGUGAUUUUGGGAGCUGAAGAACCCCGAAGAACAUGUGGAGAACAUACGAACACGUGUCCACGCAGACGGGCCGAAGCAGAAGUGCUGGAGGUGUGAAGAGACUUCACUCGAGUUGACGUGAAAGCUGAACUGGGAGAAGCAGCGAGUUUUGAGGGAAUAAAAAAAAAUGUCAACAAUGUUUGUUGUUGGAAAAACAGGGUUGUGUAAUGUCAGGAAUGAGGACCAGGAGAAGAUUGGAACUCUAAGCACUGGUCACUUUGUCCAAAAUAAAACUUUUUUUUUUUUAAUGAGCUUGACUGGAUCAAGAUUGUGCAAGCAUUUAUAUAAAUGAGUCCAACUCUAACACAGUAAAUAUAAAUAAAUAAACAAACAAACAAAUAAAUAAAUAAAUAAUC